UAACUUCCUUGGUAGGGAGACAGCAUGAUCACGAGGGUAGUUGUCUUCUGUUGUACCAUAGGUCUGCCGAUCUCUGCGGUUUCCUCAAAUAUGGGAAACUCAGCUGCACAGUUUGUGGGAGCCGGGAACUGUGCUCGCUGCCAUUUCUAGC
rnacentral:snRNA from 1 species